UACGGAGGGGGCUAGCGUUGUUCGGAAUUACUGGGCGUAAAGCGCACGUAGGCGGCUUUGUAAGUUAGAGGUGAAAGCCCAGGGCUCAACCCUGGAAUUGCCUUUAAGACUGCAUCGCUAGAAUUGUGGAGAGGUAAGUGGAAUUCCGAGUGUAGAGGUGAAAUUCGUAGAUAUUGGGAAGAACACCGGUGGCGAAGGCGGCGACCUGGUCCUUUACUGACGCUGAGGCGCGAAAGCGUGGGGAGCAAACAGG
rnacentral:rRNA from 1 species